AUUAUAUGCAUAACAACAGCCUAUCUUAAUGGUAAAGUGGGAAUCUAUUGAAAUGGUAUUCAUUUUUUGUGCAAAGGUUCAAAACCUACUUUUGAUGCUUUAUUUCUAUCUGUUGAGUUAUAAGAAUGAGCAACUACAUUGAAGGAAAGUAUGUGUUGCAGUGUUGAUGAGCUGAUUCUGAGAUGAGGCUGUUUGAACAAAUGUGUGCAAGAAAUAUGACAGAUAUCCUUAUGGACCAUCUUUUAAGAAGUAAAUGUCCCUCAUCGUGAUGAUCAGUUAUCUAUUACAAGGACUGCACUCUUUGUACAUCUCAAAGUGGUAUACGAGUCUAAUAUCUUGGGACGGAGGGAGUACUAGACUUCAUUGCUAUAUAUAUUAGUUUUUGUUAAAGUUGUAACAAUACAUCAUAGAUUGACCACUGUCAAAUUAUAUAAGGAAAAAUAGUUUUUGCUUCUCCUUCUCGAGAACUAGUGAUGCAACAAAUAGAAGCUUGUCAUAAGAUUGUUGGAAUUCCGCAAGAGUGGACUAUUGAUCUAACUGGAGGGAUGCUUAGAAGAGCAGAAUUCUGGAAAUGCAAAUGCGUUUUUUUUGUUUCUCCACAAGCGUUAGAGAAGGAUAUACAGUCUGGCUCCUGUUUGGUGAAGAAUCUGGUGUGUCUGGUGAUAGAUGAGGCACAUCGUGCAACAGGAAACUAUUCCUACUGUGGAGCCAUUCGAGAGUUUUAGGAUUGAUUCAACACAUGGGGCAGACUGGGAGGAACAAGCAAGCACGAGUUGAUAUCCUUUAUUCUCUAUCUGUGGUUCUCGCAUGGGGAUCUUGGUAAUAAUCUCAUUUACAAAUGAGUUUAAAUCCUUUUCAUAAGCGAUUUCUUUUACAUGCUCACUAGUUUUAGCAUGCGAAGGGACGGAAUUGUGUGGUUAUAUGCGAAAGCAAGCGAAACAGAGGUCUAUAAGUAAUCUCAUGAUAAAUGGUGGCAUGAAUGGUUCCAAUUGCAGGUU